GUUCAAUUCCCAGCCACCACAUGGUGGCUCAUAGCCAUCUAUAAACUGGUACCCUCUUCAGGCCUGCAGACAUAAUGCAGGCAAAACACUGUAUACAUAAUAAAUAAAUCUUUAAAAAAAAGAAAUGUAAGGUAUGGUUCAUAGAUUUAUAAAUUUAGGUUUAGAAAUACUUAUUGAUAAGAUUGAAUCUAUUUUUUAAAGUUUAUUUUAUGUAUAUGAGUAUAUUGUAAUUGUCUUCAGACACACCAGAAGAGGGCAUAUUUGGUGUGAGGAAGAAUCAUUUUCUUCAAGUCCUUUGUUUUUUAUAUAAACACACAUUCUAUACACACAAAAUAAUUGUAAGAAACAUAAUCACAUUAUGUGGAAUCACAUAUUUGUUCUGAAUGUUUAAGGAUAUAUAGUAUCAGAUGCCAGUAGUGGCAUGUUUAACGUGCUUUGGGAAUAGAUUCAUGUAGACUGGUGUAGCCUUUUUUUUUUUUUUUUCUUCCUUUAUAAUUUUAUGGAGGAGGAAUGUUUAGAACUUGAAAGAUUUCUCUAGGGUCUAGAGAGAUGGUUCAGCAUUUAAGAGUGUGAAAUGCUCUUCCAGAAUAUCUGAGUUUGGUUCCUUGUGCCCACGUCACUGGCUCAGAACUACCUGUACCUCCAGCUCUAGGAGAUCUGAUGCUUCUGGCUUACUCACACACCCAGACGCUCUAGUGAUGUGCACAUGAUAAAACAAUUAAACAGGAGCUUGAAAGAUGGCAGAACAAUUAAGAGCAUUGUCUGCUCUUGGAGGAGACCAGGACUUAAUUCUCAGCACCCACAUGGGGGUUCACAAUGGUCUUUAACUCGAGUUUCAGGUGACCUUAUGUCCUCUUCUGACCUGUGGGUACCAGGCAAGCAUGUGGUGCAUAAAUAUAUAUACACACUCACACAUACAUACACACACACACACACACACACACACACACACACACACACACAAAUAUACAAGAAGGCAAAAUACCUAUAUACAUAAACUGAUAAUAGAGAAAUAUUCCCAAAAGAAAUGUUUUCAGUGAGAUUAGCAGCAUAUGCCUCUAUUCCAUCACUUGAGAAUUAAAUUGGAAUUCAAGGCCAGCCUCAGCUGCUUUAGUAAGAUACAGUCCAACUCUUAUAUAUGAGAUCUUCUUUCCAAACAGAGC
rnacentral:lncRNA from 1 species